AGGACUGUGUAGUUGUACGUCGAGCGGCUGUUUUCAAUUCAUUCUCUGUUAAAAAAAAAAACCAUCCACGUCUUUGUUCAGACUACGCCAGUCAAACGGAUUUCACACACAAACGCGUAACGUACAAUUGGGUCGAAGGAAUCAAUAAACCACUAUGUCACAAUCCGAAAAUCAAGCAGAAGAUAUUGAGAGCCAAUUUUUGAUCGAAUUAAAAAUAAUAAAUCGGGAAGGUUUGCAACGGUUAAUCAGACAACGUAAAUUAAUGGUGAGCCAGGUUGUCCGUGGUUCAAUCAGAGAAGUUGUACUCAUAAAUCACAUCAAAAAUGAAAAUCGACUAUUAGAUGUUGUCAAACAAAGGCUCAGGACGACAACAAAGCCCGUUGAUGAGGAUCUUAAAUCAACCGUACUUGAGUCAAUGACGAAUCGUGUCAGCGAAUUGUUCAACAUGCUGAUGUUCCAGUUUCUGCCGACCUCAGAACUUUAAAGAAAUACGUAUUCUUUUGCUUGAACAAUGUAUGUAAAGCGAUUUAUGCUCAGUUUUUUAAAUGCCGUCAAAGUUAUUUUCAUAAAUCAUCUUCCUAUUUCAGAAUUUACUAAUUGAGUGCAGAGUGACGUUAAAUAUCCUGUCAGAGAUGCCGGGCCACAUCCGUGUACGUGUGUGAUGCGAAUUUCAAAGAAAAGUUAAAAUAAAAACCCAAACAUGCUUGAGUGUAUUUUUUUUAUUGUUUCUAGAUAUCAUGUAUUUAAAAUAACUGUAUCGUAUUGUAUUUUUUUUUUUAAUCAGUUUAAUAGAUCAUUCGAUCUUGAAUCAUAAAAUUAUAUAAAAUCAUUGCCAAGGUAUAUAACAAUAUAAUUUUGAAAAUAUUUUUAAAACAACCGUUUUCAGUCGAUUCAAUCUAGUAACCAAAUCAUUUAGAUUUGUAUAGA